rnacentral:rRNA from 1 species
UACGUAGGGUGCAAGCGUUGUCCGGAAUUAUUGGGCGUAAAGAGCUCGUAGGCGGUUAGUCGCGUCUGCUGUGAAAACUCGGGGCUUAACUCCGGGCCUGCAGUGGGUACGGGCUGACUAGAGUGCGGUAGGGGAGACUGGAAUUCCUGGUGUAGCGGUGAAAUGCGCAGAUAUCAGGAGGAACACCGGUGGCGAAGGCGGGUCUCUGGGCCGUAACUGACGCUGAGGAGCGAAAGCUAGGGGAGCAAACAGG